rnacentral:rRNA from 1 species
CCUACGGGGGGCAGCAGUGGGGAAUAUUGGACAAUGGGGGCAACCCUGAUCCAGCCAUGCCGCGUGUGUGAAGAAGGCCCUCGGGUUGUAAAGCACUUUCAGUGAGGAAGAACGCCUGGUGGUUAAUACCCAUCAGGAAAGACAUCACUCACAGAAGAAGCACCGGCUAACUCCGUGCCAGCAGCCGCGGUAAUACGGAGGGUGCGAGCGUUAAUCGGAAUUACUGGGCGUAAAGCGCGCGUAGGUGGCUUGAUAAGCCGGUUGUGAAAGCCCCGGGCUCAACCUGGGAACGGCAUCCGGAACUGUCAAGCUAGAGUGCAGGAGAGGAAGGUAGAAUUCCCGGUGUAGCGGUGAAAUGCGUAGAGAUCGGGAGGAAUACCAGUGGCGAAGGCGGCCUUCUGGACUGACACUGACACUGAGGUGCGAAAGCGUGGGUAGCAAACAGGAUUAGAUACCUCAGUAGUC